GUUACCCCCACUGUGGACUGCACGUUUAGCCUGUAGAAAACAAGGGGGGGGGGACUAGGCAGAAGGCUGAAAGGAAAAUGACUUUAUUUCCUGCUUCUGGCUCCUUCCUUGCUCAAGAUAGAUCCAGGCCUUUUCUAGUUAAUCGAUUCCAGCAAAGAGAGGGAAGUAGCCCGAUGGAGACAGUCAUUCACGUCCUGCUGGCUCCAAGCCAGUCUUGAGGACACCCUGGGUUUAGAUUAUUGAAACCACAGCAAUACCCGGAAAUUCUGGCUCACGUCAGGGAAAGUUCAGAAUGAUGGGAGGGAGCAAGGUCAGGGAACUGGAGGUUCAGCAUAAUUGGGAAGGCUGUUCGUGAAAUGUGAGUCUAAAGGCCCUGAAAGGUAACCUAGCCCUCAUGCCUUCAUGGCUACUGGCCUGCUUCAGCCAGUACUACAUAUGACUGGUGAAGGUGGGUUCCCAGGAGGGUGUUUAACCUCUGGACUUGCAAGUGGUUCUCCAAAGACAGGAAGAGGCUGCAGCUGGGAGAGUCCCAAGGCCCCGGGAUGGGGAGCAGCCCUGCCCCCUUGAUCUUUGACGCUGUAGAGGCUCUCUACAUCACAGGCUGACUAUCAGACUGUUGAACCAAUGGACCCUAAAGAAAUGGGAACCACCUCCAGGAUUAUCAUACUGAGAAACUAAAGGACCCCAGCUAGAGGGAGCCGUCUCCCUGAAAGGCUCACGACUUCAGCAACUUGUCCAGCCAUCUUACCAGAUGAGAUGGAAGCCGGAUGAUGUGACAGGGGCUGCGAAGAUGUGCAUACCAACUUUGACCCAUUCAGGGCCCUGAAGAUGGAGUCAGGGGCUUUGUUGAACCUCUCUGUCCCUCUUCCAAACAUGACCUCCCUGAAUAAAUAAAUCUUUUUAUGCAUUUCA